UCCUUUGAGGAGGCAACCAGGAAGGCUAGAAAGAGAGAUGAGAGUGAACCACCAGCAAGAGGAAGGAGGACAGCAACUCUCACUUGUGCUAGGUGCUUACAAACAGGCCACAAUAAGAGAACUUGUCAAUAUGCUGCUGUUGGGGUAACUAUACCUUUGCUUGCAUAUAAUGAAUCUAUUUUGACCUUUUUUACCUUUUUAUGUAUUUCUCUAAUUGCAGGCAAAUAUGGCUGCAAGUCAAAAGAAAAGAAAACACACUACUGCAUCAGGUGCGGGGACUUCAAGAGGGGUUAAUACUAAUCAAGUGGGAUCAAGUGGUGGACCAACUAUCUAAAGGAGCCUUUGGAAUAUCAAAUGAUCUUUUUGAGAAUGUUGUUAGUU
rnacentral:lncRNA from 1 species